CAGCUUCUUCCUUCCUUCUUUCGCAGUAUCUUCUUCCGGAACAUCACACCUCUUUAUUCAGCGUAUUAUAAACUCUAUUCGACCGCUACCAUCCAGAAUUUUCUCAAUUGCAUAUCACCGGUUGUCAGGUCGCCUACAAGGAUGAAGGGAGCGAAACUAGCCGUGGUUUUCAGCGUGUGUUUGGCCUUCUUGGUCCUGACUGAGGCGGCUCGGAGCAAGAGAGACUCCAGCAGCCAGAACAGCUUCAGGAGGGCGGCCACGAGCUUAUACCAAACCUUCAGCAGCAUCUUCGGAGAGGACAACAUGAGGGCUGUGCACAAGUUCUUCUCAAAAACGACAGAGGGGUUUGUUCAUGGAGUCGAUUUAUUAGUGGACGCCUUGUGGAAGCUGUGGGUGGAUCUGCUCGAUGUAAUGGGCAUCGACUCCUCGAAUCUGACGCACUACUUCAGCCCAUCGUCUGUGUCCAGUUCUCCUCCUCGUGCACUCCUCCUGGUGGCAGCCUUGCUGUUGGCGUACUGGUUCCUGUCCUUGUUCCUGAGCGGUUUCUUUUACGUCCUCCACACAGUGUUUGGCCGUUUCUUCUGGCUGGCCCGCGUGGCCCUUUUUGCCCUCUCCUGCCUGUACAUUCUGCAGAAAUUCGAGGGUGACCCGGAGAAGGCAGUGCUGCCACUGUGCUUCAUAAUGGCCAUGUACUUCAUGACAGGACCGGUGGGAGCAUACUGGAGGAAAGGGGCAGGAUCUGGAAAUCUGGAGGAUAAGAUCGACAACCUGGAUACCCAGAUCCGUCUCCUUAACAUCCGCUUGAGCAGAGUGAUUGAAAACCUAGAGAAAUGAGAGUCAGAGGUGUGGUUUGUGAGAUGGCAUAAGAAGAAAAAAAAUCCUUUUUUUUUUUUGUUUUUCAGGAUGUCCCAACAUUUUAGUCAGGCAAGAAUUGUAUGUGACCGAUUUCCUAGAUGGUAUGUUGAAAUGAUUAGAUCCACCCUAUUGUUGUGUGUAAUGUAUUAUAAGUGUCCACUUCUAAAGUAACUGCCCAUCUUUGAGCAAAUAUCAGGAUUUUUUGUGGGUCUGUGUGUGUCUGCAAGCCUUGAGUUGAGUGUGUUAGUCGUUUGUGCAGUGUUAAGCCCUUUUUUCCAUUAACUGUGUUAGGGCACUUUCUAUAAGUGUGUGUUAUUUAUCAGUCAUUAAGGCGAUGCAAUUGAGAGUUAGUUCACUUGAAUCACUCAAAGUGUGAGUAAAAAUCAGUAUCACUGCAUUUUUAUUUUACUUUUUCACAUCUCCCUUGUCUCUUCUUGAGGUCACCAGAGGUUACUCUGAGUUCAGGAUCGAUCAGGGAUAGAGAUGUAUGUGGAAAUCGCUUUCAGAGAGCAGCUAGUCAUCAGAAGCGUGAGGAUAUUAGACCGGUGUCUCUGUCCACCUUCAGUCGAGAGAGAGAGAGAGAGAGAGAGAGAGAGAGUACUAUUACAUUUACAAUAAUGUAGUACUAGGAAACAGAUAAUGGUCUGUAACACACUCCCAUUAGAUGCCAUUAUAUAUGAUUGAAGUGUGAAUGUGUGUAAUCUUGUUUUGCUCUAGAGGAGAGAAAUCCUGCAGGUUUGUGUGAGGAAACGAUGUAAAACCAUGGUCAGAUUAUUUCCAUGUCAACUACUCCUUUAGAUUGUCUUGCUUUAGGAUAGAUUUGCACAAUGGAAACAGAUGCAGUAUGAUAUAGUUCAGAAGGUUUUGGGUCAAUAUGACAAUAAUUCAAAUUGCAAAUGUACAAAAUGUAGUAUUUUGAACUAAUUGGCGUUCCUGGAAAACUCUUCAGUUAGUGUGUUUUAAAGGUCUGUAGCCGGUUCAGGUCUAUGUUCAUGAUCUCAGUGUGCACUUCAGCUCGUGUGUCAGGUAUUUGAAGAAGGAUCUCAAUAAAAGGUGACCCUAAACUCAGAAAGGGCCAGAAUGAGACGGUUCUGUUCAAAGCGUCAUGCUAUUAUCAGAUGAACUCCUGAGACUGAACCUUGGCUUUCGUUGACUGCUCAUAAGGCAAUGCAUCCAUUAAAAUCUGAUUAUGUUUGUUUGUGCUCCAGCUUCUUGCAUGUGCAAUGUGAUGUGCACUUGAUCAAGAAUAAUUAAUCCUGAGAACAUA